UGUCCUCCUCCCGCCGGCCCCCACAGUGCUGGGUUUGGAUUUGCAAUGCAGCCUAAUGACAGUCUGCCUUGCGGGUCACUUGCCGGUGAACUGGUGUUGUGAAGCACGGUCAGGCUGUGAGCUCACUGAGGGCAGAGACUCCAGCUCCGGUGGCUGGGUCCCCCACUGCAUCUGCCGUGCCUCCUUUCCCUGGCUGUCCUACGCGUAAAAUUCAUUUAUUCAAGAAACUUCUUCUGAGCACUGCCUGGCUGAGUGACUUGGUGCUGAGCUAGGAACUGCAUGCGUGACAACGUGACAAAUCCAAGGGAAUGAAGGAGCUGAGAAGAAUUGGACCCUGGGCAUUCCUUUCAGAACAAGUUGCCCUAAGAUGUGCUAUUUUGGCAUGUGGAUCGUUUUGAACUGAAAACAACCAAGGCCCACAAGACUGAGGAAGAAACGUCGACUUCCCCACUUCCCCAACUGCCUACAAUGUUUUUUUAGAGAGGACCUGCUCCAGGAAGGGAGCUGUCACCAUAGAUAAUGGCAGUAUGACACGAACCAGGUUCGGUGGACAGGGAGGAGGCCGGCAAGGCCCGUCUGAUCCAAGUCCUCCCUUUGUCCCGUCGUUCCUGGACGGCCCAGCCAAGAUCUGCUCACCAAACCUUUACCCGUCCUGUUCUUCCCGUGCCUGGCCUUCCUUCCCUCUGAAGACCCAGACCCUUUAGUCCUUAGCCCAGAAUGACAUAGACACCUCAUUUUGCCUGACUGUCUUUGGAAUCUCUCACAUUUAUGUCGGUUUUCUGCAUGGAUGUAAUUAAAUUUGAUUUUCUCCUGUUAA